GCCAGCGUGGCGGAACUGGUAGACGCGCCGGACUCAAAAUCCGGUGGGCCUUGCCCAUGAGGGUUCGAGUCCCUCCGCUGGUA
rnacentral:tRNA from 1 species